GAGGAUAUAGCUCAGUGGUAGAGCAUGUGCUUAGCGUGCGUGAGAUACUGGAUUCAAUCCCCAGUACCUCCA
rnacentral:tRNA from 1 species